UGACUAGAUCCACAUUCAUCCA
rnacentral:miRNA from 1 species